rnacentral:lncRNA from 10 species
UUAGUAAUAAAAAGUAAAUUAAUUUUAUUUCAGAUAUGCUCUAAAUUCCAAAAAAAGCAUAGGAGAAGGAAGAGACUUCUUAUCUGGAUACAAAUAUUUUAAUGUAACCAAAUAACUAAAUUUUAUAAAACAAGUAUGAAAUUUAACCUAAUUUAUGAGUAAAAACAUAUGCCAAAAAGAGUAAACUGGGAUGCAUCAAUCUCCUGAGAAUUUGAGACACAAAUAGUUUUAAACACAUAUGAAAAUGGGUACUUCUAAUAACAAAUAAGUAAUAAAGGAAUGUGACUUUUAGAAAUAAGUCCAUUUAAAUACCAUCUGUGAACAAUAAAUUCUUCAAACUCUUUCAGAGCUGCCGGUGGCUGGAGCCCUGUCCUCCGAAUGGAUGAGAGGCAGCUACCCGCCAAGGCUUCAGGUGACAUCACAAGAAAUGGCGCGGAUCCUUAUUGCCCUGUGCCUUGGCUUCCGCAUCAGCGAACUCCGCCUUCGGUCUUCCAGGCGGCCCGUACUGCUUAGUCGGUAGCAGUGAAUCAUGAGAGCCACUCUCCUUCCUCGCGCCCAGAUCCCAACAGCCACCAGAACACUGCGGAUCCCACUCUCUGCUCCCCAACGAGUUACCUUGGCAAGUCAAGACCCCAGCCAUUGUCGUCACCAGGGGAGAGAGGCAGAGGGAGAUUUGGCUACAAAAAAAAAAGAAGACAAUGUGAUCUUGAAUCAGGAUGCUACGCUGGUGACUUUGAAAACGGGAGGAGGAGGCCGGGCGCGGUGCCUCACGCCUGUAAUCCCAGCACUUUGGGAGGCCGAGGCGGGCUGAUCACGAGGUCAGGAGAUCGAGACCAUCCUGGCUAGUACGGUGAAACCCCGUCUUUACUAAAAGUACAAAAAAUUAGCCGAGCGUGGUGGCGGGUGCCUGUAAUCCCAGCUACGGGAGGCUGAGGCAGGAGAAUGGCGUGAACCCGGGAGGCGGAGCUUGCAGUGAGCCGAGAUGGCGCCACUGCACUCCAGCCUGGGUGACAGAGCGAGACUCUGUCUCAAAAAAAAAAAAAAGAAAAAAAAGAAAAGAAAAGAAAAGAAAAGAAAAGAAAAGAAAGAAAGAAAAUGGGAGGGGGAGCUAUGAGCCAAGGAAUGUCCCUGUAGAACCUGGGAAGGCCAAGGAAAGCUGCUUCUCCUCUGGUGCUUCUGGAGGGUGUCAGACACCCUGUUUGACAUUUUCAUUUUGGUCCACCGAAACUGAUUGCAGAUUUCUGACCCCUAGACCUGUAAGGGAAUAAAGACAUAUUGUUUUAAGCACCAGACCUGGGUUUAAGAGAGCUUGAGUUGAGUUUAGUGAAACAAAUUACCCAAGCUGAAGUAGAGAGCGAGAGAGGGAGAGAGAGAGACCCAUAAGGAGAUAUUUCUGCCCAGUUUCCAUUUCGCGUGGGUGGCACACGUGACAACCACUGCAUUACAAAAACCACCGUUCACCCAGGAGCUAUCUUUAAAAUUUAAAAUGGACAUUUCCUGAAUGGCUCACGUUCAGUAUUGUGAAAUUAUUGUUUCUUUUAGAGCAUUUUCAUAUUUGUGGCCCUUUUUUUCUUUCCUUAUAUAUUCCAUUCACCAAAACCAACAAUACCCAAAAUCCAUGAUUCAAGACCAAGGAAGGCUUUCGCCCAGUGACCCACAUCCUCAUAAAUACCAUGUCAUCAUGUCAGGAAAUUUCAGGCAGAAUAAGGAGGAAUUUUAUUUCAAGACCAUUGUCCAUACUGUGCUAUGCCUUUUUCUGUAUCCUUCCAACACACCCAAACAUUAACCUCUUGAUUACAGAAAAAAAGACUUUUUAGAAACCAGGACCCCAAGGGAGGGGCUUUGGCGACAUUUAGCAUUUUCUGUCAAGGAAACGCUUUGCCAUAAGAAACUGUGGAGUGAGGUGGGGUCAGGGGGCCACCUGUGACCAAUUAUCUUCCUGGCCAGCAAGAGGGCAGGGGACUGAGUGUAAUCAGGUGUCUUCCAAGAGGUGGCAAGUGUGCCAAUCAGAUAAUUUAACUUAGUUUCUUCCCCUCUUCACACAAUUUGCCACCAUUCCCUCUGGCAUUAGUCAUUCAGCUACUGCCUCACCCACUGUAUUUUGUGUAACUCUGUAAUUUUAAUUUUGGUAUUGUACUAUACAUCCUGAUAUACAUUUUGUUUCUUAGAUUUUACUUUGCACUGAAAAAUCCACCUGUUUUUGGUAUACAUGUACCUCUGCUUCAUUAGUUGUGACUCCUGCAGAGCAUGAAACUUCACACAAACUUGUAUUCACUGCAGUACUUACUCAUUCUGGUGAUGGACAUGCAGGUUGCCCCAACUCUCUGCUGCCUGAAAUUGCUGCAAUGACUGGAUUCUAUGAAGCCACUACAGAGCUAAGCUGGAAUUUCACUGAUAGACAUUCGUAGAAGUGGGAUUGCUGGGUACUCAUCAAAAAGGCUAUACAGAAAUAAACACUUGUUUAAUGCCCAUACCGUGAAAUCUAAGACCUAGAUUGUUAAGAUUAAGAUCUUACCUUUAUUUCAUGUAGAAAUUCAUACUUGUAAGAUUUUUAGUAUGACAAAUCAAAACACAGGAAGUACACCUAACUCACACUGGUCUCAGAAAAAUUCCCAGGGGAAAGUGCCUUGAGGUAAAGCUAAAAUAAUGAGUAAACUUAUGGUAAAGAACGAAGGAUUUGGGAGAAUCAUCCAAUUGAAUGAAAAUUAGACAGCAUGAAAUGUCCUCCCAUAGUAAUUGAAUCCAUCAGCAGUGACCUAAACCUGUGAAUCCAGAGAGCUUACAUGGCUCUGUCACUCCCACAACCCUCAGAGCCUGAUUUCAGCCCUUUGGGGAGAGUUUUGAUUGGCUCUAGGGCUUUCUAAGGGAUGCAGGAUAAAUUACCUGACUUUAACACCUUCUCUGUGGAUUUUUCUGGGCCAAAUCCACAGAAGUGAAACACUAGAAACUUCCUUCUUCAGUUCUUUGAAUUCAGUUUUAAGAUCAGUGAUAUUUUUCUGUGAGGAAGCUGCCUCUCUUUUUAGUUAGACAGAGGUACAAGGCAGGAAAAGACUUUUUCUUUUCCCUUUUUUUCUGUUUCCUUAAAACACACAAGAUUGAGCUCAGGCAUUCUCUUUAUCAAACUCUUCCUGUAGCUGAAAGAGGGUCUGGCUGAUUGUCACUUGUAGAAAAAAGCCAAAAGAACAAGAAUGAGGCCGGGCGUGGUGGCUCAUGCCUGUAAUCCCAGGACUUUGGGAGGCCGAGGCGGACGGAUCACGAGGUCAGGAGUUUGAGACCAGCCUCGCCUAUAUGGUGAAACCCCGUCUCUACUAAAAAUACAAAAAUUAGCUGGGUGUGCUGGCGUGCGCCUGUACUCCCAGCUACUCAGGAGGCUCAGGCAGAAGAAUCGCUUGAACCCAGGAGGCAGGGCUGCAGUGAGCUGAGAUCGUGCCACUGCACUCCAGCCUGGGCAACAGAGUGAGACUCCAUCUCAAAAAAAAAAAAAAAAAAAAGAAAAAAAAAGGAAUGAGGUGUAAUUAAAAAUAGAGUAAGUUUUAUUAUCCAUGCUAGCAAUGGGGAGAGUGGCUGGCCAAAAUUUGCCACUCUCCAAUUUCUGGAGAGAGGCCAAGCAUUUCAAGGAGAGGAGCUUGUAAUGCAGAGGGGCAAGAGGCAGGAGGUGCCCAGUGGGUGUCUCAUUCUGAUGGCUUAUCUUGAAUUAUUGUUUCACCUGGUGAAGGGGCCAGUGACAUUGUAGGCCCAAUCAAGUUACAAAUUAAUGACAGUCAAUCUUGCAGAUAAUCUCUAGCCAAGAGUGAAUAUUGUCCUUGAAUUAAUCUCCUACUGGAGAGAGAAUUCUGGAGAUGUCUGGUCUGCAUCAGGAUUCAGCCCCUGAAGCUUCUAAGGAAAUAUAUGACCAGAUAAGUGGGCAUGGUAUGAGCUUAACAAGCAUCCAGGUAAAUAAAUGAGCAUAAGGCAUGGGGGCAUAAGAUGCGAAAGGGAAGGCAGUUUUAAUGCCCAUUCCAAGGCAGUAAUUGACGACAAAAGAAAGCACAUCUGCAGUUUGUCUCAAAGCUAUGUCUAGAAACUGGGGAGAAAGAAGAAAAGAAACAAAGUUUUUAAAACGUGGUUUGAAGCUAAGCUGCUUGGUUACCUUCCAACCUUCUGCAAGAUUUUGCUGUUUUUUGUUAUUAUUAAAACAAGUAAUAGGCCAGGCGCAGUGGCUCACACUUGUAAUCCCAGCACUGUGGGAGGCUGAGUCAGGCAGAUCACUGGAACUCAGGAGUUCGGAGGGGGAAAAAAACCAAGCCUGCGCGCUCUGAGCCCCACCCCCCAUUCCCCAUGGUGUCUGAGUAGGCUCCCAGGGCGAGCAGGAUCCCUCCUCACAGGCGAGACUGGCUUCCUUGGAAAACCAAUAGUCGGACUUGCGAGUUUUCCUCCAAGAUAAUUUUCUCAGGGACUUCUAAAUGUGGUGCUGUACGCCUAUGGUCCUAGCUACUUGGCAGGCUGAAGUCGAAGGAUUGCUUGAGCCCUGGAGGUCUAAGCUGUAGUGAGCCGAGAUCGCGGCCACUGCACUCCAGCUUGGGUGACAGAGCAAGACUCUGUCAAAACAAACAAACAAAACACACACACACACACAAUGUAAACCAGGAAUAGAAGGAAACUUCCUCAACUUGAUAAUGCCCAAUUAUGAAAAACAUACAACUAAUAUCAUUCUCAACAGCGAAAGACUGAAAAUUUUUCUCCUACAAUCAGGAAUAAUGGGUGCCCACUUUCACCAUGUUAUUCAGCACAGUAUUGGCAAGGAAAAAGUAAAAUUAUCUAUGUUCACAGAUAACAUGACUUUU